GACGUAGGGCGCGGGCGUUGUCCGGAUUUAUUGGGCGUAAAGAGCUCGUAGGCGGCUUGUCGCGUCGACUGUGAAAACCCGCGGCUCAACUGCAGGCCUGCAGCCGAUACGGGCAGGCUAGAGUUCGGUAGGGGAGACUGGAAUUCCUGGUGUAGCGGUGAAAUGCGCAGAUAUCAGGAGGAACACCGGUGGCGAAGGCGGGUCUCUGGGCCGAUACUGACGCUGAGGAGCGAAAGCGUGGGGAGCGAACAGG
rnacentral:rRNA from 1 species